UAUAUGUUGAUGUAAAAUGCAUAAAAGAUUUUGAUUCUUUAAGAUUUGGUUUAAUUCCAUUACAUAUAG
rnacentral:tRNA from 1 species